rnacentral:rRNA from 1 species
AUGAACGCUAGCGGCGUGCUUAAUGCAUGCAAGUCGAACGGUGCAGAAUUUCGAUUUUGUACAGUGGCGAACGGGUGAGUAAGACGUUGGUGACCUACCUUGGAGAGGGGAAUAACUAGUGGAAACGCUAGCUAACACCCCGGAUGUUACGCUGGUUAGAGAGGUGUAACUGAAACCCUGGUGCUCCAAGAGGGGCCAGCGGCCCAUCAGCUGGUUGGUGUGGUAAUGGCACACCAAGGCGAAGACGGGUAGGGGGCGUGAGAGCGUGACCCCCCACACUGGUACUGAGAGACGGACCAGAUACCUACGGGUAGCAGCAGCAAGGAAUAUUGCCCAAUGGACGCAAGUCUGAGGCAGCAACGCCGCGUGAAGGAUGAAGGCCUUCGGGUCGUAAACUUCUUUUAAGAGGGAAGAGAGCGGACGGUACCUCUUGAAUAAGCUUCGGCUAACUACGUGCCAGCAGCCGCGGUAAAACGUAGGAAGCAAGCGUUAUCCGGAUUUACUGGGCGUAAAGGGCAGGCAGGCGGUCGGUUAAGUUGGACUUGAAAGCUCCCGGCUCAACUGGGAGAGGCGGUUCAAAACUAGCCGACUAGAGGGUGAUAGAGGAGAGUGGAAUUCCCGGUGUAGUGGUGAAAUGCGUAGAUAUCGGGAGGAACACCAGUGGCGAAAGCGGCUCUCUGGGUCACUUCUGACGCUCAACUGCGAAAGCCAGGGGAGAGAACGGGAUUAGAAACCCCGGUAUUCCUGGCCGUAAACGAUGUUAACUAGGCGUCGGUGGUGUCAAAGCCGCCGGUGCUGCAGCCAACGCGAUAAGUUAACCGCCUGGGGACUACGGCCGCAAGGCUAAAACUCAAAGGAAUUGACGGGGGCCCGCACAAGCAGCGGAGCGUGUGGUUUAAUUCGAGGCUACGCGAAGAACCUUACCAGGGAUUGACAUGCAGAUGGUAGAGAAGCGAAAGCGGACCGACCCUUCGGGGAGUCUGCACAGGUGCUGCAUGGCUGUCGUCAGCUCGUGCCGUGAGGUGUUAGGUUAAGUCCUGUAACGAGCGCAACCCUCGUCGUUAGUUACACGUGUCUAACGAGACCGCCGGUGAUAAGCCGGAGGAAGGUGGGGAUGACGUCAAGUCAGCAUGGCCUUUAUAUCCUGGGCUACACACGCUACAAUGGCCGGUACAAUGGGCUGCGAAACCGCGAGGUGGAGCCAAUCCCGCAAAGCCGGUCUCAGUUCGGAUGGCAGGCUGCAACUCGCCUGCCUGAAGUCGGAGUUGCUAGUAACCGCGCGUCAGCAUAGUGCGGUGAAUACGUUCCCGGGC